rnacentral:rRNA from 1 species
UAAGGAAUAUUGGUCAAUGGACGCAAGUCUGAACCAGCCAUGCCGCGUGGAGGAUGAAGGUCCUCUGGAUUGUAAACUUCUUUUAUCUGGGACGAAACACUUCUUUUCUAAGAGGCCUGACGGUACCAGAUGAAUAAGCACCGGCUAACUCCGUGCCAGCAGCCGCGGUAAUACGGAGGGUGCAAGCGUUAUCCGGAUUCACUGGGUUUAAAGGGUGCGUAGGUGGGUAUGUAAGUCAGUGGUGAAAUCCCCGAGCUUAACUUGGGAACUGGCAUUGAUACUAUAUAUCUUGAAUACCGUAGAGGUAAGCGGAAUAUGUCAUGUAGCGGUGAGAUGCUUAGAUAUGACAAGGAACACUAAUUGCGAAGGCAGCUUACUAUGCGGUGAUUGACACCGAAGCACGAAAGCGUGGGU